UCGGGGAUGGUGUAAUGGUAACACUACUGAUUUUGGUUCAGUCAUUCUAGGUUCGAAUCCUAGUCCCCGAA
rnacentral:tRNA from 1 species